CCUANGGGCGGCUGCAGUGGGGAAUUUUGCGCAAUGGGCGAAAGCCUGACGCAGCGACGCCGCGUGAGUGAUGAAGGCCUUCGGGUCGUAAAGCUCUGUGGGAAGGGAACGAAAAGAGUCAGGGAACAAUACCUCUGGCUCGUGACGGUACCCUUCCAGAAAGCACCGGCUAACUCCGUGCCAGCAGCCGCGGUAAUACGGAGGGUGCGAGCGUUGUUCGGAAUUAUUGGUCGUAAAGGGCGUGUAGGCGGAGUGUUGUGUCGGAUGUGAAAGCCCUAGGCUUAACCUAGGAAAUGCAUUCGAAACUGGCACCCUUGAGUACGGGAGAGGGAAGCGGAAUUCCCAGUGUAGAGGUGAAAUUCGUAGAUAUUGGGAGGAACACCGGUGGCGAAGGCGGCUUCCUGGACCGAUACUGACGCUGAGACGCGAAAGCGUGGGGAGCAAACAGGAUUAGAUACCCUGNUANUC
rnacentral:rRNA from 1 species